rnacentral:rRNA from 1 species
AUGGUCCGGAACUGCUGGUGGGGUGCAUCGGAAGGGAAGAGGAAGACACAUUGGCUAGCAUGGCCAAAGAUCUUGGCGCACAAAACUCAGGGCGGGCUGGGUUUCCGCGAUUUUCGCGCCUUCAACCAGGCCCUCCUUGCCCGGCAGGCGUGGCGCUUACUAAUUAAUCCUCACAGCUUAUGUGCGCAGGUGCUCAAGGCGAGGUAUUACCCCGAGGGCCGCCUCGAGGAUACAGUCUUCUCCGGCAACGCCUCCCCUACGUGGCAGGCCAUUCAAUAUGGCCUCAAGCUUCUCAAGAAGGGCCUCGUUUGGCGUGUAGGGGAUGGCCGAAACAUCCGGAUUUGGCGAGAUCGUUGGAUCCCCCGCGAGCCUUCACGCCAACUUAUUACCCAACAGGGUACCUGCCGACUACGACGAGUGGUCGAGCUCCUGCACGAGGACGGGGCAUGGCAUCUUGACCUGCUCCAUCGCUACUUCCACCCGGCAGACGUGGAGGUGAUCUCCAGCAUACGUACUUCGACCCGCGUUACCGACGACAUCAUCGCAUGGGCUCCGGAGAAGAACGGUAUCUUCACCGUUCGAUCCGCUUACUGGUUCGCCAUGGACGAGCGCGAGCGUCCACUGGCCACCGCCACGAGCAGGGCACCGGAUGGUCAUCGCGCCUUCUGGAAGAUCAUAUGGGGGUGCCCUGCUCCCCCUAAGGUACGCGUGUUUGCUUGGAGGAUCGUUACGAACUCGCUUGCUACUUGGGCAAAUAAGCUCUCUCGCCAUCUUGAGGUUUCUGAUCUAUGCCCCUUGUGUGGACUGGAACGGGAGGAUAUGUUCCACGCUUUUUGCAGGUGUCCCUUGGCAAAGGAGCUGUGGCACGCCAUGGCCAUGGAUCGGUGUAUCCCCAAGGUGGAGGACAUCAUGAACACUGGUCCGGAAUGGCUCUUCACCCUGCUGGACCCCCUUGACGAGGCAACGAGGAUGAUCGUGCUUAUGAUCAUGUGGAGAACCUGGCACGUCCGGAAUGAGAUCACGCAUGACAAGAAGCCGCCCCCUGCUGAAGCCUCACAACGGUUCUUGCAUGGGUAUAUUACUUCGCUGCUCUGUAUCCAACAAUUCCCAAAUGCUGAUAUGGUCAAGGGGAAGAUGACGGUCUCCUUGCCACCGUUUGUCACUCGUCCUCCUAAGGUGGCUAAGGAGGAGAGAUCAUGGACCGCGCCAGCAUCGGGCUGCACUAAGCUGAAUACCGACGAAAGUUUUGUUGCAGCGACGGGAGCGGCAGGAGGAGGGAUGAUUUUGCGCGAUGAUCGAGGAGAAAUCAUCUAUACUGCAUGUAGAGAGUUGCGCACAUGCGAUAAUGCCCUGGGAGCGGAGCUUGCGGCAUGCAAGGAGGGCCUUGAGUUGGCUCUGCAUAGGACCGGUUUGCCUAUCACGGUCGAGCUUGAUUGCGCGGAGGCUGUGGCAAUGAUCACAGCAAAUGUGGAGGAUCGUUCGGUGUACCGCACCCUCAUUCAGGAGAUUAGAGAUAUAGCGGCUGCCGCUGGAAGGGAGAUCUCAUUUACUCUUUGUUGUCGUUCAGAAAAUAAAUGUAGUCAUGAAUUUGCCUCUUACGGGCGAAGGAUCCCCCGGACCGCUGUGUGGUUCCACUCGGGGAUUGAGUCCGUUGUACGUCUGGCCUCCGCUGAGAGGCCACCUUGA